rnacentral:rRNA from 1 species
AGGCAUGUGCACGCCCUGCUCAUCCACUCUACACCUGUGCACUUACUGUGGGUAUCGGGAGGUGUCGCGUCGUUUACGGCGAGGCGUUAACCGUGCCUACGUUUUACUACAAACGAUUCAGUAUCAGAAUGUGUAUUGCGAUGUAACGCAUCUAUAUACAACUUUCAGCAACGGAUCUCUUGGCUCUCGCAUCGAUGAAGAACGCAGCGAAAUGCGAUAAGUAAUGUGAAUUGCAGAAUUCAGUGAAUCAUCGAAUCUUUGAACGCACCUUGCGCUCCUUGGUAUUCCGAGGAGCAUGCCUGUUUGAGUGUCAUGAAAUUCUCAAACCCAUAAGUCUUUGCGGGCUUACGGGCUUUGGACUUGGAGGCUUGUCGGCGACCGUGAGGUCACAUCGACUCCUCUCAAAUGCAUUAGCUUGAUUCCUUGCGGAUCGGCUCUCGGUGUGAUAAUUGUCUACGCCGUGACCGUGAAGCGUUUUGGCAAGCUUCUAACCGUCUCUAACGAGACAGCUUACUUUGACCUCUGACCUCAAAUCAGGUAG